rnacentral:ncRNA from 1 species
AAUCGACUGUGUUCUUUACGCAGCCCUUUGGAGAAAUCUAAAGGAGUAAAACGAGGUGAAUUGCUGGAAGCCCAUACAAUGGGUAAUCAGCAGCCAAGCCGAGCACCACUUUUGAUUUUUAGAAGUUUCUAGAAUUUAAAAGUGGUACUCGGAAGGUUCAGAGACUAUCCCUAACGGGAGUACUCUCCGAUUUAUUUGGAGCGGAAGCGCCUCGCACCUAAGUCUCAUUUUUUGGGAUAUGGUGAUGAUAUAGUCCACCCCUAGGAGUAAUUUUAGG